GGAUGGGUUCCCGAGUGGCCAAAGGGAACAGACUGUAAAUCUGUCGCGAUAGCUUCGGUGGUUCGAAUCCACCCCCAUCCACCA
rnacentral:tRNA from 1 species